UACGAAGGGGGCUAGCGUUGUUCGGAAUCACUGGGCGUAAAGGGCGCGUAGGCGGCCGAUCAAGUCGGGGGUGAAAGCCUGUGGCUCAACCACAGAAUUGCCUCCGAUACUGUUUGGCUUGAGACCGGAAGAGGUUAGUGGAACUGCGAGUGUAGAGGUGAAAUUCGUAGAUAUUCGCAAGAACACCAGUGGCGAAGGCGGCUGACUGGUCCGGUUCUGACGCUGAGGCGCGAAAGCGUGGGGAGCAAACAGG
rnacentral:rRNA from 1 species